rnacentral:lncRNA from 1 species
CUCUCUGGACAGACUGAGCUGUAUAUCUCUCUCUGGACAGACUGAGCUGUAUAUCUCUCUAGACAGACUGAGCUGUAUAUCUCUCUGGACAGACUGAGCUGUAUAUCUCUCUCUGGACAGACUGAGCUGUAUAUCUCUCUGGACAGACUGAGCUGUAUAUCUCUCUCUGGACAGACUGAGCUGUAUAUCUCUCUCUGGACAGACUGAGCUGUAUAUCUCUCUCUGGACAGACUGAGCUGUAUAUCUCUCUCUGGACAGACUGAGCUGUAUAUCUCUCUGGACAGACUGAGCUGUAUAUCUCUCUGGACAGACUGAGCUGUAUAUCUCUCUCUAGACAGACUGAGCUGUAUAUCUCUCUCUGGACAGACUGAGCUGUAUAUCUCUCUCUGGACAGACUGAGCUGUAUAUCUCUCUCUGGACAGACUGAGCUGUAUAUCUCUCUGGACAGACUGAGCUGUAUAUCUCUCUCUGGACAGACUGAGCUGUAUAUCUCUCUCUGGACAGACUGAGCUGUAUAUCUCUCUGGACAGACUGAGCUGUAUAUCUCUCUCUGGACAGACUGAGCUGUAUAUCUCUCUCUCUGGACAGACUGAGCUGUAUAUCUCUCUCUGGACAGACUGAGCUGUAUAUCUCUCUCUAGACAGACUGAGCUCUUUAUAUCUCUCUAGACAGACUGAGCUGUAUAUCUCUCUAGACAGACUGAGCUGUAUAUCUCUCUGGACAGACUGAGCUGUAUAUCUCUCUCUCUCAGACAGAUUCCUUUUCAAUCCUUCAAAUACAUCAAAUAACAUUCUGAUUCAUUUGGCCUUUUUGUGUGAGUCCCAUUUCGCUGUAAAUCUGUGGGUAAAUCUUACAACAGGUUUACAUUGUAACGUGUGAUGCUGCAUUGUGUAUUCACAUCUGAUGCUUUAUUCAUUAGGUAUUCAUCAGUAGAAAGCAAUGAGUAUUUAAAUCACAGUACAGACAGUAGUUUCACACACUAACAGAGACUAACAGAGUGUCUGGCAGGUUAGAGCCUGGGGUUAGGGGUCAGGGGUUAGAGGAUAGGGGGUUAGAGGUUAGAGAAUAGGGGUUAGGGGUUAGAGGUUAGGGAAUAGGGGUUAGCGGUUAGGGGUUAGGGGUUAGGGGUCAGAGGAUAGGGGUUAGAGGUUAGGGAAUAGGGGUUAGGGGUUAGAGGUUAGGGGUUAGAGGUUAGGGAAUAGGGGUUAGGGGUUAGAGGUUAGGGGUUAGGGGUCAGAGGAUAGCGGUUAGAGUCAGGCAGUAACAGGUGAUAGCAGCAGCAGCUAGAGAGUAGUCAAGGCCCGUGAUGCUGCAAAGCGUUUCAAUGAGACUCCGUCAUCGCCAACCAAUCAGGUCCUCAGCCUGCUGCGUCUGUCUGCGUGGGGGGAGGGGCCAAAGACUGUCCAGUUAAAGGCCGUCUGUCAGACCAAUCACCUCAAGGCUUCAGCCUCCAUGAAAAAUCACAGGGAUCACAGCAAAACAGCAAUAAGAGCAUCACACGUGUUAUAACAGACGUUACAAGGUGUUAUAACAGAUAGUACAAUGUGUUAUAACAGUGUUAUAGAUGUAUGAAUGUUACAAUGUUUUAUAACAGAUGUUACAAUGUGUUAUGACAGUGUUAUAGAAGUAUGAGACGUUACAAUGUGUUAUAACAGUGUUAUAGAAGUAUGAGACGUUACAAGGUGUUAUAACAGGUGUUAUAACAGUGUUAUAGAUGUAUGAGGACCAUGUAUAUAAUAUAGGAUCAUGUUAACAGACUGCUCUACCUGAGAAAACCUUUUCCACACAGACACUCUUAACUUUCCCAUGGUCACAUCCCACCACAGACAGACAGGGGAUUCAGAACCACAGACAGACAGGGGAUUCAGAACCACAGACAGACAGGGGAUUCAGAACCACAGACAGACAGGGGAUUCAGAACCACAGACAUGUUAACAGACAGACAGGGGAUUCAGAACCACAGACAGACAGGGGAUUCAGAACCACAGACAUACAGGGGAUUCAGAACCACAGACAGACAGGGGAUUCAGAUCCACAGACAGACAGGGGAUUCAGAUCCACAGACAUACAGGUGAUUCAGAACCACAGACAUGCUAACAGACAGACAGACGGGAUUAAGACCCACAGACAUGUUAACAGACAGACAGACGGGAUUAAGAACCACAUAUGUGGAAUCCAGUGUCUGAUUCAAUACAAUGUGAACUUCUCUCUCUCUCUCUCUCUCUCUCUCUCUCUCUCUCUCUCUCUCUCUCUCUCUCUCGUUCCAAAGUACCCUCUGAAUAUAGUGUUUUAGCAACCCAGAUAUUGUCCUGUUUCAACAACGCAUGCCAUCCUCAGAAAUGUAGCGUCAAUAGUUAAACCCUGUCUCCCUCCAAUCAGACGAAGGUGUUGGGAGGAUUGGCACUGAUUGGCCAGGCCAGCUUCUUCUCCUUGGCCUCGCGGUCAAACGUGUCGUAGACUGAGUCUUUGGCGAGUGUCGUCUUGGUCGCCGCGGGGACGUCGACCACGCCCACGUAGUUGUUCUUGGCCAUGCGGGAGCUGGCGGUGAUGGUGUAGGCGUUGCUACGGUAACACUUCAUAGAGGACGUGCAGAAGGUCUCCCCUCGUGCCGCGUCUGAAGUUAGCGUUGUAGACGGAGUAGAGCGACGGUUUGGAGGCGGCGGAGCUAAACGCCACCCACAUCACGCAGCAGAAGACCAGAGCCCCUUGUCUGCUGGGGCCCGGGGCCUCACUAGGGUGCCACAGCUGGACAACGUAGAAGGGAGUCCAGGUGAGGAGGAACACAACGUUCAACAUGAGAAACAUCUUGAUGGUCUUCACUUUAGUCCUUGGGACGAUGUUCAUGGUUCUCCGGACCGUGUGUCCGUCUGCGCCCGAUCCUCCAGAUGUAACGGACGACGCGCUGGUAAAACCACACGAUGAGGACGGCUGGGAUCAAGAAACCCAGGAGCAGGUGGGCGGAUCCGUACGCCACGCCGUCCCAGCUUCCCGCCGGC